CCAAUGCCAGGUGCCCCAGAGGAAUGAACUGAACAGAGAUGUUUGUGAAGUUGCAAACUGCUGUGAGGAGACCUUUCUAAAGCUGACUCUAUGGAUCAGUGUUUUCAGUUACUGGCCUCCACUUCUGCUGACACAAAUAAAGCAGCUGCUAGAGGCUCCAGCUGAGACCAUGGCCC